GCGUGAAGUUGGAAUCGCUAGUAAUCGCGGAUCAGCAUGCCGCGGUGAAUACGUUCCCGGGCCUUGUACACACCGCCCGUCACACCAUGAGAGUCGGGAACACCCGAAGUCCGUAGCCUAACCGCAAGGGGGGCGCGGCCGAAGGUGGGUUCGAUAAUUGGGGUGAAGUCGUAACAAGGUAGC
rnacentral:rRNA from 1 species